UACGUAGGCAGCAAGCGUUGUUCGGAAUUACUGGGCGUAAAGCGCUCGCAGGCGGCUCGAUGCGUCGUGCGUGAAACACCCCGGCUCAACUGGGGAGGGUCGUGCGAUACGGUCGGGCUGGAGGCCAGUAGGGGGAUGCGGAAUUCCGGGUGUAGUGGUGGAAUGCGUAGAGAUCCGGAGGAACACCAGCGGCGAAGGCGGCAUCCUGGACUGGUCCUGACGCUCAGGAGCGAAAGCGUGGGGAGCGAUCCGG
rnacentral:rRNA from 1 species